CCCUUAGAUGUUCUGGGCUGCACGCGCGCUACACUGAAGCUAUCAACACGUUUUCCCUCCCUGAGAAGGGCGGGUAACCUUUUGAAUCAGCUUCGUGGUAGGGAUCGGGGCUUGCAAUUGUUCCCCGUGAACCAGGAAUUCCUAGUAGACGCGAGUCAUAAGCUCGCAUCGAUUAAGUCCCUGCCCUUUGUACACACCGCCCGUCGCUACUACCGAUUGAACGUUUUAGUGAGGCAUUUGGACCGACGCAUCUCAGUUUAACCGCUGGUUUGUGUUGGAAAGACUUCCAAACUUGAGCGUUUAGAGGAAGGAGAAGUCGUAACA
rnacentral:rRNA from 1 species